UACGGAGGAUGCAAGCGUUAUCCGGAAUGAUUGGGCGUAAAGCGUCCGCAGGUGGCUGUGUAAGUCUGCUGUUAAAGAGUGAGGCUCAACCUCAUAAAGGCAGUGGAAACUACAUGGCUAGAGUGCGUUCGGGGCAGAGGGAAUUCCUGGUGUAGCGGUGAAAUGCGUAGAGAUCAGGAAGAACACCGGUGGCGAAGGCGGUCUGCUGGGCAGUUGCUGACACUGAGGCGCGACAGCGUGGGGAGCAAACAGG
rnacentral:rRNA from 1 species